CCUGCCCCUAGAGGCAUUGCAGACGUGGCUGCUGUGUCACGUGUGUGUCAGUAGGUGGCGGAGCAGAGAGAAUCUGUCUAUGCUCACAGUAACUGAAUGAUUAGUAUCCUGACAUUU
rnacentral:snoRNA from 1 species